GUAUAGGGGAGCCGUAGGGAAACCGAGUCUUAACCGGGCGUUAAGUUGCAGGGUAUAGACCCGAAACCCGGUGAUCUAGCCAUGGGCAGGUUGAAGGUUGGGUAACACUAACUGGAGGACCGAACCGACUAAUGUUGAAAAAUUAGCGGAUGACCUGUGGCUGGGGGUGAAAGGCCAAUCAAACCGGGAGAUAGCUGGUUCUCCCCGAAAGCUAUUUAGGUAGCGCCUCGUGAAUUCAUCUCCGGGGGUAGAGCACUGUUUCGGCUAGGGGGCCAUCCCGGCUUACCAACCCGAUGCAAACUGCGAAUACCGGAGAAUGUUAUCACGGGAGACACACGGCGGGUGCUAACGUCCGUCGUGAAGAGGGAAACAACCCAGACCGCCAGCUAAGGUCCCAAAGUCAUGGUUAAGUGGGAAACGAUGUGGGAAGGCCCAGACAGCCAGGAUGUUGGCUUAGAAGCAGCCAUCAUUUAAAGAAAGCGUAAUAGCUCACUGGUCGAGUCGGCCUGCGCGGAAGAUGUAACGGGGCUAAACCAUGCACCGAAGCUGCGGCAGCGAACGUAUCACCCAAGACAACUUUACGGAGUUGACGAUUGACGGAGCGAAGCGACGUCAAAGCGUUCAUUAAAGUCGAGUUGGCUUAGGGAUACGUUCGUUGGGUAGGGGAGCGUUCUGUAAGCCUGUGAAGGUGUGUCGUGAGGCAUGCUGGAGGUAUCAGAAGUGCGAAUGCUGACAUAAGUAACGAUAAAGCGGGUGAAAAGCCCGCUCGCCGGAAGACCAAGGGUUCCUGUCCAACGUUAAUCGGGGCAGGGUGAGUCGACCCCUAAGGCGAGGCCGAAAGGCGUAGUCGAUGGGAAACGGGUUAAUAUUCCCGUACUUGGUGUUACUGCGAAGGGGGGACGGAGAAGGCUAUGUUGGCCGGGCGACGGUUGUCCCGGUUUAAGCGUGUAGGUGUGUGUUCCAGGUAAAUCCGGUU
rnacentral:rRNA from 1 species